AAUUUAGUUAUGAGACAUUUAUUAUGUAAUUUAUCGAGACACGCUUGAGAGAAGCUGGUUGCGUAACUUCCUACAUGAGGCUUUACUGCGUGAAUUACCGUGCUGAAGUGCUUCGAGAUAUUCUAACGCCUCGAAUCGAAGAAUUGUUGGGUGAUGUCAGCCAUGUUGCUACAUAAAUCAUGACAUGAAGUGAUCGUUACCAAGCUCUCUUCUAAGGAUCAGCGGCGAGUUUAUGUAUGUUAAUGGAGGAAAUGAAUGGAACACCUUAAAUAUAAAGGCUAAGUUCUCAGCUCCAUUAUCGUAACCUCUGGAGAACACGACUAUACAAUUACGAUAUUAAUAUUUAUUUUCCUAUUGUUCGACCAUUUGCAAUAAUUUCAUGUUUCUACUUCGUAUCUUUUUGCAUCUUAUGUUUUAUAUUUUAUUUAUGUUUUUUUUUCCUUUUGUAAUAUUAAAGAUAUAAGCUAAUAUAUUAUAUAUUUAUAAGCUAAUAUAAAACUCAUUAUAAAAUUUAUCAUUUAAUCUAAUAUUUGUUAUAAAAAAAAAUUUUAUCAAUAAAUAGAUUUGUUAAUUAUAAUAUUAAUAAUAUUAUUAAUAUUAUUAUUAAUUUAAAU